GAGAAUAUAACUCAGUUGGUAGAGUGGCUGACUUUUAAUCAGUGUGUCGCAGGUUCGAGCCCUGUUGUUCUCC